GCUCGACAUAUAUAUAUGUAUGUUAUUUUUCGUUGAAAGACUAAAAAGAGUGCUCAAUACUAUAAACAGUACAGUAGAGCUAUGUAAUUAAAGUUAUAAAUAUCUUAGAAUAACAAUGUUUUUUCGCUACUCUGAGUUUCACGAUCUUGUCUGAUCGAUCUUCAGGCGAUUUAUGUCCCUUUGAUUAGUUUGUUUGAUUUCGUGAUUUUCGUUGACGCACGCGCUUGCGAUGGAAAUUUCCAGCUUGGGACCGAUCUUUGUGGCAACAUUUUCCGACGAUUUCCGAUCGUUUAUUAAGUAAAGUUUUCUGGUCUGCUUUCAUAAUGGAUAGUUUUUCCUCGUUGUACAAAUUACUUCGCGAUGUAAUUUGUGUAACGAAGCGAAACUAUCAAUAAGUUGUAUGUCAACAUAGUACAUCAAUAGGUACAAUUUUAAAUUUCUCAAAUUUUCGCCUAAAAAGCCAAAAUUAGAGUUGCCAACAUAUAUAGCUUUCUUCAUUAAUGCCUAUUCUCUAAGAAAAUGUCAGUUGGCAGCUUGCAAAAAAAAAAAUGCAAUCAAACAUUUUUUAUCGGCCGUCUGAUACAUGCAGAAACUACUUCAAGAAAACGGUUCUUUUAACGAUUGCGUCAAUAUCAUCAUUUCUCGUUGUCUCGUACCAAAAUACUGGGACGACUUGUGAGUAUUGCUGGUUUGUGCUCCAUAGUUACAGGAACUCGAAUAUAAUAACCUCGAGAUUUCGCAACCCUUCCGCAGCUCACUUCAUGAGCUGGCUUUUAUCCAGUCUUGAUCUUUUUCUGUUUCUUUUUCUUCUUUGAACUUGCAGAAUCUUGUAAAGCC